GCUAGGCAUCAUGGCAUGAGCCUGUAGUCCCAGCUACUCAGGAGGCUGAGGCAGGAGGAUCGCUUGAGUCCAGGAGUUCUGGGCUGUAGUGCGCUAUGAUGAUCGGGGGUCCACACUAAGUUUGGCAUCAAUAUGGCGACCUCCCGGGAGCAGGGCACCAGGUUGCCUAAGGAGGGGUGAACUGGCCCAGGUCAGAAACGGAGCAGGUCAAAACUCUCGUGCUGAUCAGCAGUGGGAUCGCGUCUGUGAAUAGCCACUGCACUCCAGCCUGGGCCACAUAACAAGACCCUGUCUCU
rnacentral:SRP_RNA from 1 species